GCAUUUUCGAGCCAAAAGUGCGAAGCGCCUACGCGGGGAAAUCAGCCCACUGGAUUGAUUUCCGAUCCCGCUUCAAUGCGUCGGAUAAUGCGUGAAAACAAAUAGAUAGAGCGAUUCCGACGAUUCCGUUUAAGCCGGAACCGCUCUAACCCGCCGCAAUCUUUGCAAGCUGUGUCAUGAUGACGGCGGAG
rnacentral:misc_RNA from 1 species